CUUCCAAGGGCAAGGAUUUUCGUCUGUUUUAUUCAUUGCCAGCUCCCCAACAUGCAGAAGAAUGCCUGACUCAAGACAGAAUCCUAUAAAUAUUUGUUCAAUGGGUGGAUGAAUGAUCAGCGGAUCUCACUGAACAUAUGAGAAGAUUGUCAGAGAGAUAAAAUUACUCUCCCAAGAGUUACACAGCCGGCAAGGGGCGAGCUGGGAUUUGAAUUUGGGUCUGUCUGAUUCUAAAGUUCUGCCCCUUUGGAAUUACUGGGCCAAAGUGGAGCUGUGGUCAGCUCCUGUGUGCUUCUCUGUGCUUUCCAAACGGUGACGGUGAACCCACGUUGCAUAAGGAAACUCAAACUACAGAAAAGUGGAGAGAAUCGCACAACAACCCCAUUACCUGUUACCAGCCUCAUCAAUCAGCAACAUAGAGUCCCUGCUGUGUGACGGGAUUUGGGGUAUGUGCUGCAGGGAGGUGAUGAGCCCCAGCCUGCCCAGGAACCUCCUGUAAGGCCCACACGGCUCACCAGUGAUUCCGUGACAGCAGAUCCUUCGCUGGACCACAGAGCACCAGUGCCGAGCUCUUUGGAUAAAAUGUGAUUUGACAGCAGAGCCAACAGCUGCGACACGGGACUUUUGUAUUAAGGGGGAAAAAAAGUCAUAUUUAAAAAGAAAUCGUCACUUAUUUGUACUAAUCCUUCCUCCUUGACUGAUCUCCUUGGUUCUCAUGUUUGGGACAGGGCCUUGGGGGCUUACCCCUGAAAGGAUCAAGGAAGUGAGCGACUCCUCU